ACUGGACGCUGGCGGCAGGCUUAACACAUGCAAGUCGAGCGGGGUGAUGGUGCUUGCACUAUCACUUAGCGGCGGACGGGUGAGUAAUGCUUAGGAAUCUGCCUAUUAGUGGGGGACAACAUCUCGAAAGGGCUGCUAAUACCGCAUACGUCCUACUGGAGAAAGCAGGGGAUCACUUGUGACCUUGCGCUAAUAGAUGAGCCUAAGUCGGAUUAGCUAGUGGGUGGAGUAAAGGCGUACCAAGGAGACGAUCUGUAGCGGGUCUGAGAGGAUGAUCCGCGACACUGGGACUGAGACACGGCCCAGACUCCUACGGGAGGCAGCAGUGGGGAAUAUUGGACAAUGGGGUGAACCCUGAUCCAGCCAUGCCGCGUGGGUGAAGAAGGCCUUAUGGUUGUAAAGCACUUUAAGCGAGGAGGAGGCUCUUUUGGUUAAUACCCAAGAUGAGUGGACGUUACUCGCAGAAUACGCACCGGCUAACUCUGUGCCAGCCGCCGCUGUAA
rnacentral:rRNA from 1 species